GUCCACGCCGUAAACGAUGGGCACUAGGUGUGGGAGGUGUCGACUCCUCCCGUGCCGGCGCUAACGCAUUAAGUGCCCCGCCUGGGGAGUACGGCCGCAAGGCUAAAACUCAAAGGAAUUGACGGGGGCCCGCACAAGCAGCGGAGCAUGUGGUUUAAUUCGAUGCAACGCGAAGAACCUUACCUGGGCUUGACAUGUAACUGACAGCCGUGGAAACACGGUCUCCCUUCGGGGCAGUUACACAGGUGGUGCAUGGCUGUCGU
rnacentral:rRNA from 1 species